UGAUGGAGGGUUUGGGGACAAAAAUAGCCUCAGUGGUGUGGCUUGUGUUCGCAGAGUAAUGUCCUGGGUACGCUAUACUAUUAAGGGAGGCAGCCUGUAUCUUUAAUAACCCACGUUAGUACCUCAUUCUACAGAACACGUCGUAACAAAAUGGUUAUAAAAGUAUUUCUAGCUUCUUCAUCAGGAUCGACAGCGAUCAAAAAGAAGCAACAGGAUGUGCUUGGGUUCCUGGAGGCCCUGAAAGUGGAUUACGCUCCAUUGGACAUUGCCUGCAAUGAGGACAACCGCAUGUGGAUGAGGGAAAAUGUCCCUGUGGAGAAAAAGCCCACCAACGGGAUCCCCCUACCCCCUCAGAUCUUCAAUGAAGAGAGCUACUGUGGGGACUACGAGACAUUCUUUGACGCUAAAGAAGACAAUGCAGUGUUUGCCUUCCUGGGUCUGCCACCUCCUCCAGGAUCCAAGGAAGCGAAAGAGGCUGAAAAGGCAUUUAUCCUUGAGAAUGGGCCUGUUGAAAAUGGGACUGUUGAGAAUGAGACCGUUGAGAACGGAACUGAUGAUGCUGAGGAUGAAGAGAACCUUGAAGCUGAGGAGGUUGAGGAGGAGAACCUUGAUGAUGACUCACUAAAAAGAGAGGUUCCGAUGGAGGAGUUCAAUGGAGAUGAACACACAGAUGAGGUGGAAGCAGAGGUGGGAGGAGAAACAGGAGAGGAGGCAGCAGAAGAGGCCGCAGAAGAAGACGCCGCCGCAGAAGAGAAGGUGGCAAAGGAGGAGGAGGAGGAGGUGGUCGAAAACACAGAGGAAGCCGCAGAAGACACUGUAAUUGGCUCCCAGAAUCCCGUGCUGUGGCAUCUCCUCUCCUCCAUCUCUUUAAUAUGGUCUUUUCCUCUACCUCAGGGUUUUGUUUCCCUCGAGCUCUUGUUGUCUUAUUCUCCUUCUCAACUCUGGACCAUACUAACCCACCCCACUGUUAUAUUGACUGUCCCAUAACUGUUUCAAUUGACUGUUCUGUAGCUGUUUCUAUUGACUGUUCUAUUAUUCUUUCGAUCUGUUGGAUGUUUAACCACUUUUCUGUUCUGGAGCAGUUAACUGUAAUCUCUUUGUUGGCUGUUUUGUAUUUCUGUUUUAAUUGACUCCAUUUGCAGCCUUUGUGUCGUCAUUGUUCUUGAUUUUCCUUGAUAUGUACUAUGUUCUUUGUUCCACAUCAAUGUCUAGGUGUGUAUGUAUAGUAUGUCAAAAAUCAAAUCAAAUUUUAUUGGUCACAUACACAUGGUUAGCAGAUGUUAAUGCAAGUGUAGCGAAAUACUUGUGCUUCUAGUUCCGACCAUGCAGUAAUACACAUACACAUACAUGUGUCUCCAUGUCUAGGUGUGUAUGUGUAGUAUGUGUCUCCAUGUCUAGGUGUGUAUGUGUAGUUCUACUGUCCAUCCAUGUCUAGGUGUGUAUGUGUAGUUCUACUGUCCAUCCAUGUCUAGGUGUGUAUGUGUAGUUCUACUGUCCAUCCAUGUCUAGGUGUGUAUGUGUAGUUCUACUGUCCAUCCAUGUCUAGGUGUGUAUGUGUAGUUCUACUGUCCAUCCAUGUCUAGGUGUGUAUGUGUAGUUCUACUGUCCAUCCAUGUCUAGGUGUGUAUGUGUAGUUCUACUGUCCAUCCAUGUCUAGGUAUGUAUGUGUAGUUCUACUGUCCAUCCAUGUCUAGGUGUGUAUGUGCAGUUCUACUGUCCAUCCAUGUCUAGGUGUGUAUGUGUAGUUCUACUGUCCAUCCAUGUCUAGGUGUGUAUGUGUAGUUCUACUGUCCAUCCAUGUCUAGGUGUGUAUGUGUAGUUCUACUGUCCAUCCAUGUCUAGGUGUGUAAGUGUUGGUGGGGGUCCUCUGGAAAUCCCAACAUGUUCUUCAAUGUGCCUGAUCUGUGAGAUCUGUUCAAGUUGCACAACCUCCCAUGUAUAAGUGUCUCAUUCAAGUUUGAGGAGAGGUUCUCUGUUUCCCAUAUGCCUCCUUGAGGUCAUGCUUUCAUUGUAAAGAUACUGAUACACAAUUUUUUCUAUUUUCUCCUUUUUCUGUCAGAAGGCCCCCGUGAAGCAGGAAGAAGCCCAGGAAGAAGUAGAGGAUGAGGAGGCUAAGGUAACAGGCGACACUGUCCACCGGAGUAAUGACUGAUAUGAAGGGCAUUGUCAUUAAUAACAACAGCCACUGCUCUCUGUAUUGUGCCAUCUGCCCCACUAAAAAACGCUCUUAGCCUGGAUCCAAUAGACCUGACACAUGGUUCCAUACUACAGUACAUUGCACCUUUAUUUAACUUUAAUAUUCUGGAAUAAAGUAAAUUAUUAUCUUGUAUAUAUUUUAGUCAUUCAACUAUUCUCAACAAAGCAUAUACAUGUAGGUCUAAAAGGGAAAUAAGCAUGUUAGGUCUAAGUUUUCCUGGCCAUAGUCACUGAUUAUAAAUCAGUACUAUGAAGUUUCUCUGCCAAUGCCCAGGCCCAGCUAUGUCUGCUAGCCAUUGUAACAAAACAUGAUUACGUCAUACAUGCUUAAUAACAUGCUAUCUGUAUACACUUGCAAAGUUUCCCAACUCAACAGCAGCUUAAUUCAUUAAUAAAUGUUUUUAUUGUGACUUGAAAGCUGUAUUGAGAAUGGUAAAUGUUAUAUGAAGGCAAAAGCCUGACUGAUCAGAAAAGGUCAAAUAUCACAUUCUUUUAAUGUCUCAUACCACUGUUGUGUUCUGUUGGGUUCAGAAGUGCCUCAGAAGCGAUUGCUGGUAUUGUGCAAUGCUGGUAUUGAAUACAAUGUGCUGUGGCACAAACAAACAGACGCAGAGUAAACCAAGACGUGUUCGUGUUACCCAGGGCACUGUUGUUCUCUACAGAGUGAACCACUAUAAACUCGUUAUUGAUAAGAUAUAAAGUUAUAUGCUAUUGAAUAAGUUCAACUGAAUAUAUCCAUCAGUAUUUAUGUGCAAUGUGUCAAUAGAUAUCAAAGCACUUGUGAUGUUAUUGGAUUGUAGUAAUAAUCAAUUUGUUAAAAUCUCUAUUUCCUAGUUCCAGUAACCUGGUGAAAGCUAGCGAGUUGAUCCAAAGCUAAUCACUGCUAUUCGUUGUUUUAGGGAGAAGACGAUCACCCGGUUUCUGAGGUAGAUCUACUUUGAAUGUUCUAUAGCUGUAGUGUUCAGUCCUUAAAUCGUAUUCAUUAUAUACUGUAGUGCCAAUGUCUGUGCUAAGGGCCUUGGGUGUUCAGUUUUAAUGUGUUUGUUUGCAUCCUUGUGAUUGUGAUCUAUAUCCGACAUCCAGACAACUAUCCUCACAUUCUUCUUUGUUGUAGCUUUUCUUGUGCAAUGUUGAAUGCUUGAAACCCCUCUUCCUUCGAAGUCCCAUGACUUACAACUCCAGAUCCAUUAUUGUUGUUUUUGCCCCCGUCCCAUUUUCCACAGGUCUGCUGUGGAGGGAUUGCUGUAUGUUCGGAUGCAUUUCAUCUUAAUCCUUGACACAGUUUUAGAACACUACUGAUUUGUUCUAUGACAUGCCACCUUAGAGAUAUAAUCAUUAGAUACCCUAGUCAAUAACAUUCAUAUUUGUCAUUUGAUAAGAUAUUUUUAUGAUUGUAUUUAGAAAUAUAUCAUGCUCGUUUAGCUGCUACUCUGUUUAGUGUCUACAUUGAAAGAUAUCUUGUAUAAGUAGUUAAAACAGAUACAGUAACAAGGAUUGUACGUCUAAAUAAAUCCAAUAAAGUCACAUAAAGAUAAUUACGUUUAUCUAAAUAUUUUAGGGCUCCAGCUUGGUUCAUGUUGAAUCAUGCAUGUAAAGCUAUUUGCAAGAGGGUCUCCUCCAGCAUCUCCUUGUACCUCCUCCACACAUUGACCCCUCCCCCCUUUGCCCUUUCCCCCAUCUCUUGGUUUGGUUUUCCAGGGAGAAGAGGAUUUGGGGUCGGAGGUAACUGGGUGUCUGCGGCUGUGAAUUUAUCCGGUUGUUCCCUUAGUCACCAGCUGUGUGGGUUUGUCUGGCAGAGAUCAGAAGGCUUUGUGUGAUCUAUCUGCCGUUUGCCCCUCAUCCGUAGCCUGUGUUCACUCCCUCCGAACCUCUGUCUGUCUGUCUCCCCUCUCUUUUAGCCUUCUUCCUCAUUUCUUCCCUAGUCCUGUAGCUGCUUCCUUCCUGCCAGCCUGAACUAUCCCUGUAGAUUCCAUUAAAAAAAUAACGGACUUUUCCUAUAGCGCAUGCCUCUGGUGUCACUUCUGACCUCUCCAUUCACACCACUGACACUUAAUCUCAUUCUUUCUAGGAGGAAGAAGAGCUGCGACAGCUUGAGGAAGAAGAAGAGGCCCCCGAGGUAUAUUCUGGCUGUGCUCCCAGCCCAUUGCAUGGUGUGGCCCCUGACGUGGAGUAAAUGGAUCUUAUGCAUGACGCUACUCCUUCAUAUGUGGAUUUAGUGAAGAAGAGGACGAGUAGUUACAGCCAGGAAAGGUUUAGGAUGUGAUUUACUACUGCCCAGCCUCGAGAGACCCCUUGUUCCGAUCCUUCCUGACCCCCCCUGACCCCUCAGACCGUCCCACACCCAUCCCACUACCCACGAUGCCCCCACCUGCUCACUGGGAAUGCACAUGUCUCCCUGCUGGACCCUGCUGGCUGAAACCUGCCAAUCCCACACUGUCUGUACGGCCUACCUAUACUCCAGAGAUAACCCCCUGUUUUACCAGAUGUUUAUAUUGCGUAGGGGACUAGGACUAGAGAAGAUGUGUUGCUGUACUUCAUUUGUAUAACGUUGUUAGUUUAUGGUAGCUUCCAUCCAGUGUGUAGCUCAAUUACAUAGUGUUAUCAGUUUGUUUUAUUCAGCAGCUUUUCUAAUUGUACAUACACAGUCAUAUGUUAAGCGUUUUAAAGAUUUCAAACAUACUUCUCAUGUUUCAAAUUGAAAAUGGUAGUUUUAUACCACAGUUUGUAUAGGAUGAUGAGCAUGUCACCAACAACAACUUAGCAGUCAAUGACAGACAGCUAUAAACCUGUGAGUAUCUGAGUGAAGAUCACUCUACUAUGAACUGCAACCAGUGAAUGGACUUAUAAUCUCAGCCUGAAACAGAUCUAUCAAUGCAGUGCCUCUCACUUGAUGCCAGCAAAGAUGUUAGAUCUAUAUGUGUGAAUGCAACCCAGUGACUCUAUGUCUCAAUCCAACAUGAGAAAGACCCUUGUGUAGUGUUUCCACUAGCUUUCAUAGCCACAAAGUCAGAUUCCACAAAUUGCUUUUGGUCUUACUUUAAGGUUAGGGUUAAGCAUAAGGUUAGCAGUGUGGUUGGGUUGGGUAAAAUAUUAAUUGUAGAAAUGGGCGGGGUUUAACCAUAAUUAUGACUUUGUGGCUGUGACAAUCCUCAUGUAGCGUGCUUUAUGACUGUGUUUGCAGCUACUGGACACCAUUCACUGAACGUUACUAUCUGCUGAUCUACUGUGCACUUUGUUGAAUGUAAAAUUAUGUGGAUGACUAAGAGAUCCCCCUAGAUGUAAGAGAAGUGAAAUGCCAAUAAAGUUGAAUGGUGUGAACAGCU